rnacentral:rRNA from 1 species
UGGCUCAGGACGAACGCUGGCGGCGUGCUUAACACAUGCAAGUCGAACGGGAACCUUUAUUUCGGUAAAGGUGAGAGUGGCAAACGGGUGAGUAACACGUAGGCAACCUGCCGACAGGAUGGGGACAACAUUCCGAAAGGAAUGCUAAUACCGAAUGGAGUCCGAGGAUGGCAUCAUCCUUGGAUCAAAGAUGGCCUCUUAACAAUGCUAUCGCCUGUCGAUGGGCCUGCGUCUGAUUAGCCAGUUGGCGGGGUAACGGCUCACCAAGGCGACGAUACAUAGCCGACCUGAGAGGGUGAUCGGCCACACUGGGACUGAGACACGGCCCAGACUCCUACGGGAGGCAGCAGUAGGGAAUCUUCGGCAAUGGGGGGAACCCUGACCGAGCAACGCCGCGUGAGUGAAGAAGGUUUUCGGAUCGUAAAGCUCUGUUGUAAGAGAAGAACGAGUGUGAGAGUGGAAAGUUCACACUGUGACGGUAUCUUACCAGAAAGGGACGGCUAACUACGUGCCAGCAGCCGCGGUAAUACGUAGGUCCCGAGCGUUAUCCGGAUUUAUUGGGCGUAAAGCGAGCGCAGGCGGUUAGAUAAGUCUGAAGUUAAAGGCUGUGGCUUAACCAUAGUACGCUUUGGAAACUGUUUAACUUGAGUGCAGAAGGGGAGAGUGGAAUUCCAUGUGUAGCGGUGAAAUGCGUAGAUAUAUGGAGGAACACCGGUGGCGAAAGCGGCUCUCUGGUCUGUAACUGACGCUGAGGCUCGAAAGCGUGGGGAGCAAACAGGAUUAGAUACCCU